UGAAAAAAUGAAGAUUGUUACUCAGUGGGCUCAUUUUACAAUUUUUUUACCCACCACUUAAUUGCAAGUGUUGAUUUAAAUGUAUAUGCUUCCAUUUACUUAACUGAGACUUGUAAAAGGUGUACGUAUGCAUACACAGGUAAUCAGGUUUCCUCUUGCUUUUUACUUCUGGUGAAAUCUAUCCACCUCUGAAGAAGAAUAGCAUAAAAUCUAUGCACUAAAUUCCAGGCUUUGGGUUGACUCUUCAUGCCUAUGAGGAAAGUCUGGGCUAUAUUUAUUCCAAGAUGUGGAGGAGAGAUAUGAUUUAGAGACAGAAAUAGGAGCAGAAGAGGGAGAGAUACCAGUCUUAUGAAAGGAAAUUGUGCUUUUAUAUUAUCUCCGUUCUUUUCUCCUCUUCCUAAAAUUACCCUCUUCCCCACCAAAACAAUGACUUUUAAAGAAGAAAUAGAGCUUAUAUAAGGAUUUUUCACAACUAAAUAUGGUAAAUAAUAAUAAAAAAAAUUAAACAGAAGCCUUGGAUUGCAAUAUGUAGGAAGCAAAAGCCAAAUCUUCAGGAAACACCCUUGCAAUAAACAAAUUAGAGAUUUAAAGCGUUCCAGAAAUAAAGCAUACUCAGCACAAUAGCAACAUUUAGACUCCUUAAGGCCGAAAACAUUUACCCUUACUGUAGCUGUAAUAUGUAACUUCAGAGUAUUGCUCAAGAAAAAUAUGGCUUGGAAGCAUGAGAAAUGUCCAUGGUCUCUAUUUCUCUGCAAUCGUAGAGGGGAGUUCUGAUUUAGGGAGCAGUGUAAAAGAUGUCAGUGGCUGCAAAUACUGCUGGAAGUAUUUCACAUUGUUGUCUAAGUAAAGAACACACAAACACUAUCUUCCUCUGUUUCAUUUAACAAAGUGCUUAAGAACAAGCUUAUAGUUUGGUUUGAGUAGAAAGUGACAGAUUCUUUAAAAUUUGGUAGGAUAUCUUGUUGCAGUUAUAAAAUCCUAGCAAGAGAUUGAUUUCUAAAUAAUCAAAUUACUUUGUUAAACUAAAUACUCACAUUUCUCUUCUGAACUCUUGAGACAGCUACUGAAUUUUAUAAAAGGCCAUUAAACGCAAUGCAUAGCAGGCAACGUCCUGCUGACCGGAAAGAUGACUUUCCCCAGGUGAGUUCUUGAAAGGAGGUCUAAAUCUGCCAAGAAACGUAACAGGGUUCUGCAUGCCAUGAAGUUACUAAAGCAAGCAAAACCAAUGAAAGUCCAUGAAGCCCACCGGCCAGUGGGGUAACUCCCAAAACCCAGGUGAAAAUAAAAACUUUUUAAAGAAGUUUGAAGUGGCUUGUUGAAGAUUAGCUUUGUCUGGAGCUGCACAGUAGAAUAAUUCCAGUUAUUGAAAGGACAUGCACACAAUUUAUUUUUGCAUAGGAAUUAAGAAAACUUGUGUAGUGGGAAUGCCUUAAAAGCCUAAUUUUUAGGUUUAAAGGGCAUUAAACUAUUAGAGCAAAUAAGAGCAUUUUUGGUUCAUCUUUUUAUUAUUCAGAGAUAGGAAAGAUGGUGCUCAUGUUGCAAUAAAGAGCAAAGUGAGAUGGUAGCGUCUGUUUCUGUUUUCAUAAGAGAAAAAUUUUUCUCAGCUAUCUUUCCUUUCCGGUGUAUUGUUGACAGGUGCAGUAUGAUCCUUCUGUCUUGCAGGCCUACGGUCUCCUCCUGCUCAGAAGGCUCAAUUCCAAUAGAUGGCCUAUGAGUUCUACAAAGAUAAAUCAAUUCCAUUGUUUUUUAUCCUGGAAAAAAUGAGAGUAGAAAUCAGCUAUGCAAUGAACAAUGAAGAGCUCCUGAGUCAUACUUAAUCUGAUCUGACCUAAGCUUGUUAAGCUUAGAGGAAUCCUACUGGAAUCCUGUUGGCUUUAUUUCAGGACAAUGGUUUGUGAAGUGUCUUGCAUCCGUGAGCACUUCGCGUUUUUUACUUUUCUUUCAUUUUCACUUAAUGUAUUUGUUUAUCAACAGGGGGGCACAUCUUGAUAAAACAGUAAAAUAUUAAUCUGCAGUGAAAUUAUGUUUUUUAAAUUUAUGUGUUGGGCAUUUCAGGUUGCUUUAAUCUGGCAUUAUUGCUAAGUAAAAACAUUUUUCAAGGAAAAAAAUGUCUGAAAACCUUGCAAGAUUUUAAUUCCAAUUGAAUCGUAGUGUGAGUGGACAACUGAAAAAUAAAGUCUCCAAAAUUCAGUGUUGUCAAAAUUUUUAGUUUAAUGCUUUUUGUUUUUUAAUUCUAGAGGAUGCUAGAAAUUGUCAAAGAAGAGAUUAACAUACUUUUCCUCAUGAGGAAGCUGCCUGUUAGGUAACGUCAGUGACCACAACAGCAGUUACAGGGGAGGCUCAGGGAAUAAGUAAGCCCCUGACACAGAUAAAUUCUCUUCCCAGGAAGGUAGAAUGCACCAUACAGGAGAAGAUCUAUAGGAUAGGAACUGUGUGCUCAGGGAGCUGAUUUCAAGUAGGAAACAGCAGUUCAUUGAUAUAAGCACGCUGGAGAUAAACCAGGGUGGGAAAAUACCUGCAUUCCUGGAUGGAGCUUUGCUUCAACUUUAACUCCAGCUGUGAGCAGUAAUUUGCUUUUUGUUUGAUUUUUGCAGUCGGUGACUGACCAUGGACCAGACAGUCCCUGCUGCUUAUGGACAACGUAGCCCUCCGGACAACAUAGUGAGGACUGUAUGACCGGAACUAAUUUAUCAUAGGAGAGAAAGUAUCAACAGCUGAAUUGCAGUUUUGAUUUUGUUGGUAGGGAGCUGUAACGAUGCAUCUUGCAUGGAUAAUAUAGAUUAAGAUACAUGCGGUGGAAAAUCUCAAACAGAACCUGCAUGAAGAAUAUAUUCACUAUAAUUGGAUCAAGAAGAUACUGGGGCUUGCAAUGCUUGGAUUAUCAAAUUUAUACACAGAAGGAUACAAGUGUAGGUAAAAUAAUAAGAGGUCAAGACUAGGAAUGAGCAACGAGUUGCCUGUGACUCUUCUGUGCUGGAGGCAUGGUAACGCACUUCAGAGGAAUUAAAGGAAUUGCUUGAAGGGAGACGUGACAAGAGACUCCGUUGAGCCAGGAGUGGACAGGCAGCCCUGGAAUCCCUGAGCAGGCCCAGAUUUCUGAGGGAGAAAAUUUUCUUCUGUUACUCUUUGCAAGGAAAGGGUCAAGCGGUUGAAUGUGUAAAGCCUUGGUAGGAAACUCACGGCUAUGACAGGGUAGCUACCUAAUGUCAAACCAUGGAGCUAUGAGAUGCUGUGUAACCUGCUGUGUAGCAGAGGUGAUCUGGUGCCUGUAAUUUCAUGUCUGGGAAUGAAAUUAAUGGAAAUUGUCUUCCUCCGAAAGACAUUUGAAGAGGCUUUCAUCCACUGAAAUAAGUGGAAGCAAGCUCCCGUAGGUACUUUUAAUGACUAGAGAAACAAUAAGGAGAUUUUCCUGCACUGGGAUUCAUGGGAGUGGGAAGAGAUUUGAGAGUUUUGUGUGAAGCGGUUCCCAGCUCCCACGCGUGGCUCUGACCCAAGCAGCGGGAGAGACGUCUUCACCAGCGCUGCUCACGGUUGCCGGCGCUGUGGCCUCCCAGCAUUGACAGGGUCUGCAGCAGCUCAGAGAGGGGUGCAGAGGGGAAUGGGGGAGGCAAGUGCCUGCUCAUCCUUUUCAGCUUCGUUUAAUGCCAAGGCAUGCGGAGCAGCCAGCGGCUUCGCGUUGCAUUUGGUUGAUGCUAUGUGUUUGUUCUCCUCUCACAAAUAUUGCUGCUGUCUGUGCUGGGUUUAAUUUUGGGGGUGAUUGGAAGAAAGUACCUUGGGAAGGAUCAUAUGAGGAGAAGACACAUAAACCUUUCUUUCUGACUGAACUUUGUUAUUUUCACAAAUGUGGAACACAUUUGGUCUGGCAUCCCUUUUGAUUUGUUUACUGCUUUUGUGUCCCACAUUUGCAGAGGCUUUCCAAACAGAGAUAUUUCUCUCAUCUGGUUUGGCUCUGUCUUCUGCACAGAAACCCCGGUAUAGGUGGGAGGAGUACACAUCCAUGGUGUUUGGGUGGGCCAUGAAGGGCAACAGUGUGAACUUUUGGAAUAACCUGAACUGUACUUUCAGCCUUGUCCACAGUUCAGGUGUAGAAAUUAUGAGAUUUAUUUGGAAACAGCUCAGGUUUAGAAAUGAUGGAAUUUGUUUGGAAAUCAUGUUAGGCAAUAUCAGCUGUAAGCCCUUACUUUGGUUGUAUACAGCUCUUUCUUUACAUGUUUAGUUCAUGUAUGUGAAAUAUUGUAUGACUGUUAUGAAUUAUUCCGCUUGUAUGCUUUGGCAAAUACGCAGUGUGGAUCAUUUUCAAACAUAAUUUCUAUUAUAAAAAUCAGUGGCUCCUACAGUGGCUUGAAGCUAGUCAGGUAGGUUUAAACUAGCAAACAGCUUCACAGAUGGAUAAAUUGUGACCUUAAUUGUGUUAUAUGUAAAUAGUUCUAUGUUUCAAAAAAGUAUUUGCCCCUUAAGUUGUAAAAAUAAUAUUACCAGCUUUCCAUACAACCAUAAUUCCCUAAGUCGAUUGGGUGUAUUUCAGUGAAAUCAAACUGAAAGGAGGAAGAAAACCAUUCUCUCAGCCUAAACUUUUUCCAGCCAGAGCCCUCUUCCCAGAGUCUUCUUUCUCUCCAUCAUCUCAGUUGGCCUUACCCUUUUCAAAUAUGCUGGGGAAUUAACUGCUAGCUCCACCACCCUUGCCACGUGGCAUAUCCGCCAAAGGUUCGGAGAUCAAAAAAGGGUAAUUUUUUUCUGCGUAUACUCUGAGACUCAGUGUACAGAUCCUGCCACACAAUAGCCUUUCAAAAAUAUAUGGACUUCACUUAACCGUCUCUGUAAUGGCCAAAAGAAGACGUUUUUCCCCAGAAGCAGUUGCCUAGCAUGCAUCAUUUUUGGC